UGGGCAUGACGUAAAACAGCGAAUCAAAGAAUUCAACUUUAUUUAUAACUAAUAUAGGACAAUGCUGUUGAUUAAAAAGUACUCCAUUCCAGGACCUUUUGUUUUCCAAAUAAUUAAUAUUAUCAAUAAUUGAUAAGUUCCAGUUCGACGGGUUCAAACAGAAAGAUUUGAAAGCAGAGAAAACUGUGUAUCUUAUAAUCGGCAUGACUUUAUCAGAUGACA
rnacentral:lncRNA from 1 species